UAGGCAAUUUAUUUGUAAAAUUGUGUUUUG
rnacentral:piRNA from 1 species